rnacentral:misc_RNA from 1 species
GGCACUCGAGUGCAACUUCCAUGUCCUCGCGAAGAUCGAAGGAUAUCUCGCGUCAAGUUCGCCGAAUCGUGAAAGACUCGCGUGGAGUCGCGUCGAAGGUUUGUUCGGUCCCGUAGGUGCCGACAGGUUCCUCGUCGUUCCAGGGUUACCCCGAGGUGGCCUUUCUCAGUCGCGCAAUCGCGCUCAACCGGGGCGUCGAUGUGCGUCGCGCUCUCCUAGACCCUGUUAACGGAAUUUGAGCCCUGCAGGAUGCAGCUGUACAAGGAGAGACUACUCUCGCCAGGUCAGCUCAAACGGCUCAGCGAGCACAAGUACAGUUGUACCAGCCACAGUCUUUUCGACGGUCUCCUGCAAUUCUGGUGGGACUGGCUCGUUGACAAGGUCCCGCUCUGGCUCGCGCCGAACCUUAUCACCAUCCUCGGCCUCCUCGUCAACAUCUUCACGACGUUGAUUCUCAUAUAUUACAGUCCGGACGCCAAGGCUGAGGCGCCACGAUGGGCUUGUUUUGCUUGUGCACUGGGAUUGUUUGUAUAUCAGACCUUAGAUGCUAUCGAUGGCAAACAGGCCAGAAGGACUGGUACUUCUACUCCUUUGGGUGAACUGUUUGACCAUGGAUGUGAUUCAAUAUCUACAGUGUUCGUUGCUUUGUCGGCGUGCAUAUCUGUACAGCUGGGAUACUAUCCUACGUGGAUGUUUUUCCAGUGUUUUUGUGCUAUAACACUUUUUUACUGCGCUCACUGGCAAACAUAUGUCUCAGGUUGUCUGCGAUUUGGGAAAUUGGAUGUAACGGAAGCUCAGUUUACGAUUAUUGGGAUUCAUCUCAUCUCUGCCAUCUUUGGUCCCAGCAUAUGGAUGACGGAGAUCCCCAUCCUUGGUGUAGGCACACUCAAUAACUUCAUAGCGGGGAUAUUUUACGCUGGCUACAUUCAUGUGUUCCUUCAGUUCUGUAAAGUCUUUGAAUCCGGUGGGAUUGGAAAGAAUGGUUCUACGAUUGCAUUGCCAUACACUGGUACAGAGGUCAAGGUGUUUCCAUUGUGGGCUGCAGUCGGCGUUGCUAUUUUAUUCGCACAGAGCAGUAUGUCCGUCAUUCUUGCAGGUGGUGUCGGAAAAAAUGGCUCCACCGUCGCAGGAACCUCGGUUUUAUCACCGAUCAUCCCGUUUAGUUUCGUCGUGGUGCCUGCCUUUAUAAUAUACAGGAAAAGUGCCGAGCACGUAUAUGAAAAUCAUCCUGCAUUGUAUAUACUCGCAUUUGGGAUGGUUGCUGCAAAAGUUACAAAUCGAUUAGUGGUGGCUCAUAUGACGAAAAAUGAAAUGCAGUAUCUCGACAGUUCGCUCAUAGGCCCGGCAAUGUUGUUCCUCAAUCAGUACUUUAACUUCUUCAUCAAAGAGUAUUACGUCCUUUGGGGCUGCUUUAUUUGGGUAACUUUGGAUUUGCUACGCUACAGUGUCCAAAUCUGCCAUGAGAUUUGUGAUCAUUUGAAGAUAAUGCUGUUCAGGAUACCUACGGGCAACCAACGUGUUGGCUCGACACAGUCUUCCAUCGCUAACGAAAAGAAUGGUACUAACAGAUCUCAACGUAACAGGUUGCUAAAAAAGCACCACUAAGAUUGGUUAGUGAUAAUGAAUGUGCUGUGCCAUUGACCCGAUGCCUAGGUGGUUGCGGGUCGGUGUGAUAAGAAAAAUGUUUUGCUGCCGUGCAAAUACUUUUAAGGAUGUACAGAAAUCAUAUAGCACAAUGCAUUCACUAUCACGUUACUUUACACUCACUUCCUAUCCAAUUAGCAUUAAGAACUGGAGAAAUACACUUGUCGCUCGAACAUACUUAGAGGUGUUCGCCCAUUCGUCGACUGCCGUCACUUUUUAUUACUAAAUGUACAAACAAAAGGAAAGGACAGUGUAUACAAUGUAUAGAAAUGGUCAUCCGUAAGAAUUAGCAGCUUCGCUGGAGUUUCAAAUAAAUCUUGUAUACCUCCGAUGGUCGUUAAACAUGUGUAUAUACUUAUUCAUAGUACAGGAGUCUCGAGUAUUGGAUUGACGUCACUAAAUUCUUCAUGUUUCUUAAUCCGCUGGGAGAUAAUGGAAUCUUAGACGGAAUUUCAGAUUCUCAGUUUCUGGAAAUUUAUAACGUUGUUGGGCUAUUUCUUUGAAGUAGAGAUGAAAGUUAAACAUAAAGACACCGUUUAUUUCAAUUCUCUGAUUAUCGUAACCUUACUUGGUUUUAGACUAUUUUAUGUAUUGCUAGACAUAUGUUAUCGCAGUCAACAUGCAUCUUCUGCUCAAAUGGUGGUGGAACAUCAGUCCCUGUUAGGCGAAGAACAUCAAUUUGGCUCCGAUACGUCUCUCGACCUCUGAUAUCUUAAAAUAUGUGCACAAUGUACACAAUAACUCAGAUUUUCUAUAAAGUGUUUUCUACCUGUGAUUGCCUUGUUUGUAUGUGCAAUGCAUUUAAAUAAUGUGUGUAACACGAAUCUCUGAUGGAUCAUCGCAACUGAUUCAAGGAAAGCGGUAGAUUAAAAGUGAAUAUAGAAUUGUUCAGAAAUUAAUACCUAUGAUAGUGACACUUGAAAGUACAGUGCUAAAAAAAUCUCUGAAAUAAUUGAGAUUUUAUACAACUGAUGGAAACUUUUUUAUUUUACGUAUUUAAAUCUUACAUUUUUAAUAGAUUACUUUGUAAUGUAUAUCGUAAUUAUAAUUGUCCUCGUUGAAUGUUCAUGUCGUUGACCUGUGCACACGAAACAAAAUUGCCGUCAUACAGUUAUAGUAUAAAUUAUAAAUUAUUCUUGCGUUAAUGUAUUUUAUACCUAUGUCUAUGAAUUAAUACAAAUGAAGUUCAUUGGA